GUUAAAUGUGUCCUUUAAAUGAAAUGAAAUGAAAUGAAAUGAAAUGAAAUGAAAUGAAAUUAAUUUAAUUUAUUUUAUUUUUUUAAGUAAUUAUUUAAUCUGACAGGUUUAACACGGGCGCGCGCGCGCGCUCAGAUAGCGGAAGAUGACCGCCUUUAAGAUGACCGCUCCGGAAACAACCGAACGUGGCCGAAAAGUCCCGAGGGAGGAAGCGUGAAAGUGAGCGUCUGCAGCUCUGAGAGCAGCGCUUCUUGACGGAGGAGCCUUCACCCGCAGUGCUCCCGGGAGCUCCGCUUCUCCAGGACUCCUGGAUUCAUCUCCGUUCUUCCGGUGGACGCCUUCAGAGGGUCACAGGUGUUACACGGAGGUCUGGAAAUUCAGGAACUCUCUGUGCUUGUCAGGGUAAAGAUAAGUUUAACCAUUUAUAAUGUAACAACUUGGAAUAUAUUUGAAGAUUUGGUCUGAAUCACAUUUACUCUUCAAAUCAAUCGUCUGUGCUCUACUCCUCACUGAAUGCCUGAUUUUAUCUCUUCUCCCUGUCAUCCUGUACCAUAAAUUAUUAUAAUUUAUCACAUUUGAUUGGACAGAUGAAUCUGAAUUAAUUGCUCCACUCACUUUCACAAGGAGCCAUAAAUUAUUUAUUUAUUAAUUAAUUAUUCACUUAUUUAUAAUUUCUCCUGGUAUUUUCUGUUUUCUUUACAUAUGGUUAUUGUGUUUUUGUUCUCUUUGUACAUUUUUUAAUAAUACUGACCUGAGA
rnacentral:lncRNA from 1 species